rnacentral:rRNA from 1 species
CAGUAGCCACGGUAAUACGGAGGGGGCUAGCGUUGUUCGGAAUUACUGGGCGUAAAGCGCACGUAGGCGGCUUGGUAAGUUAGAGGUGAAAGCCUGGAGCUCAACUCCAGAAUUGCCUUUAAGACUGCCGAGCUAGCAGGUGAGAGGGGUAAGUGGAAUUCCGAGUGUAGAGGUGAAAUUCGUAGAUAUUCGGAAGAACACCAGUGGCGAAGGCGGCUUACUGGCUCAUACUGGACGCUGAGGUGCGAAAGCGUGGGGAGCAAACAGGAUUAGAUACCCCAGUAGUCCCUGUCUCUUAUAA